CCAGCAGCCGCGGUAUACGGGGGAUGCAAGCGUUAUCCGGAAUCAUUGGGCGUAAAGCGCCUGUAGGUUGUUUAAUAAGUCCGUUGUUAAAGACUAGGGCUUAACCCUAGAAAAGCAAUGGAAACUAUUAGACUAGAGUAUGGCAGGGGUAGAGGGAAUUUCUAGUGUAGCGGUGAAAUGCGUAGAUAUUAGAAAGAACACCGGCGGCGAAAGCGCUCUACUGGACCAUUACUGACACUCAGAGGCGAAAGCUAGGGUAGCAAAAGGGAUUAGAUACCCCUGUAGUCCUAGCCGUAAACGAUGGAUACUAGAUGUUGUGCUUUAUGUACAGUAUCGUAGCUAACGCGUUAAGUAUCCCGCCUGGGGAGUACGCUCGCAAGGGUGAAACUCAAAGGAAUUGACGGGGGCCCGCACAAGCGGUGGAGCAUGUGGUUUAAUUCGAUGCAACGCGAAGAACCUUACCAGGGCUUGACAUACUACGAAUUCUCUUGAAAAAGAGAAGUGCCUUCGGGAAUGUAGAUACAGGUGGUGCAUGGCUGUCGUCAGCUCGUGUCGUGAGAUGUUGGGUUAAGUCCCGCAACGAGCGCAACCCUUAUUUUUAGUUACUAAUUCGUUAGGUUCUCUAGAAAGACUGCCGGUGACAAACCGGAGGAAGGUGAGGAUGACGUCAAGUCAGCAUGCCCCUUAUGUCCUGGGCUACACACGUGCUACAAUGGUUAAGACAAAGAGUCGCGAGCUUGUAAAAGUCAGCUAAUCUCAUAAACUAGCCUAAGUUCAGA
rnacentral:rRNA from 1 species